UACAGAGGGUGCGAGCGUUGUUCGGAAUUAUUGGGCGUAAAGGGCGCGUAGGCGGUGCGGUAAGUCACCUGUGAAAUCUCCUGGCUCAACUGGGAGCUUGCAGGCGAAACUGCCGUGCUGGAGUGUGGGAGAGGUGAGUGGAAUUCCCGGUGUAGCGGUGAAAUGCGUAGAUAUCAGGAGGAACACCUGUGGCGAAAGCGGCUCACUGGACCACAACUGACGCUGAUGCACGAAAGCUAGGGGAGCAAACAGG
rnacentral:rRNA from 1 species